rnacentral:rRNA from 1 species
UGGGGAAUAUUGCGCAAUGGGGGCAACCCUGACGCAGCCAUGCCGCGUGAAUGAAGAAGGCCUUCGGGUUGUAAAGUUCUUUCGGUAUUGAGGAAGGUUGAUGUGUUAAUAGUACAUCAAAUUGACGUUAAAUACAGAAGAAGCACCGGCUAACUCCGUGCCAGCAGCCGCGGUAAUACGGAGGGUGCGAGCGUUAAUCGGAAUAACUGGGCGUAAAGGGCACGCAGGCGGUUAUUUAAGUGAGGUGUGAAAGCCCCGGGCUUAACCUGGGAAUUGCAUUUCAGACUGGGUAACUAGAGUACUUUAGGGAGGGGUAGAAUUCCACGUGUAGCGGUGAAAUGCGUAGAGAUGUGGAGGAAUACCGAAGGCGAAGGCAGCCCCUUGGGAAUGUACUGACGCUCAUGUGCGAAAGCGUGGGGAGCAAACAGGAUUAGAUACCCUGGUAGUCCACGCUGUAAACGCUGUCGAUUUGGGGGUUGGGGUUUAACUCUGGCGCCCGUAGCUAACGUGAUAAAUCGACCGCCUGGGGAGUGCGGCCGCAAGGUUA